AGUUUGGUGCAGAUCACAUUUGAAGAGGGUCCUCAGUUACUGCCGGCCGCAAAUAUAAGUCGCGUGACGUGCGAGGGACAGUCAGACCACAGCAUGGUGCUGUGCUGCUAUCUGACAGCUGAAGCUGUGAAAUUCCCUGUCUCUGUUACUCAACAGUCUCCCGUUGCUGUUUCUGUGGACACCUAUCAUGUCACUUUGGCUGUGCUGCAGGCUCAGGUGGAGAUUCGCUUGGAGGAGAUAAAGAACGAAGGUCUCCUGGUGUCGUGGAUGUUCAAGGACAGACCAGACUUGAACCUUUCGGUUCUUCCGAG